rnacentral:rRNA from 1 species
AUUGAACGCUGGCGGCAGGCUUAACACAUGCAAGUCGAGCGGGGGAAGGUAGCUUGCUACCGGACCUAGCGGCGGACGGGUGAGUAAUGCUUAGGAAUCUGCCUAUUAGUGGGGGACAACAUCUCGAAAGGGAUGCUAAUACCGCAUACGUCCUACGGGAGAAAGCAGGGGAUCACUUGUGACCUUGCGCUAAUAGAUGAGCCUAAGUCGGAUUAGCUAGUUGGUGGGGUAAAGGCCUACCAAGGCGACGAUCUGUAGCGGGUCUGAGAGGAUGAUCCGCCACACUGGGACUGAGACACGGCCCAGACUCCUACGGGAGGCAGCAGUGGGGAAUAUUGGACAAUGGGAGGAACCCUGAUCCAGCCAUGCCGCGUGUGUGAAGAAGGCCUUAUGGUUGUAAAGCACUUUAAGCGAGGAGGAGGCUCUUUUGGUUAAUACCCAAGAUGAGUGGACGUUACUCGCAGAAUAAGCACCGGCCAACUCUGUGCCAGCCGCCGCGGUAA